CUGCAACCUUGCUUUUAGCAGCAUGAAGAAGGGGAAGAGAGGAGGCUGUUGUAGGAUGAGCUCCCAGACUUCAUUGAAGCUUUUCCAUGCCCACAGGCUAUGAAUAUUUUUGAAACAUUUUUCUCAUGGCUUGUUUCUAUCUGCCUCCCCCAAAGUCUACAAUAGCUUUUAGUUCUGAUUCAUUGCAAUGUGAUGUAUUCAUUGCAAUGUGAAUAUAUAUAUAUGUACUCACUACAUUUUCCAGUGGAACAAGAGAAGAUGGCAGUAUAGGAAGAGGAAUAGCACGAGUGAAGGACUGGAAGAGGGACAGAUCCCUGCGUGUUUGCACAAUGGACAGUGUAAGGGUAUGGUGAAAGUGCAGGUGAGCAGCAUGGAGUGACUCAUUUCUCUAGAAGAAACCUGGGCCUUGCAUGAAAGGGGCCUUGUAUGAAACGUGGCAGGGUUGUGAAGAGGAGAGAAAUGUGUGGUAUGCAAACCAGGAGGCCAAAGAAGUGCCAAAGAAUGGCAAGGAGGGCCAUUGGUGUGGACCGCAUCUCACAUCAUUUGAAUCAGUAAAGAAAUCCUUAUUGGGUAGCAACAAGAGGAAGAAAGAAUGAGGCACACGUGAUAGCGCUGUCAUGGACACCAUGGGUGCAAAAAUGAGGAUACUGAGACUCAAAGUGGUGAAGAGACUUAUCCAAUGUCAUAAGCUGGGAGCUAGGGUAUGACCCAAGCAGAACCUGUACACUGGAGCCCAGGAUUACUGACAAAGGACACACCUUCUCUAGCCCCUCCUGGUGGACUUCCUCAGCUACGAAGUGCUAUUAUCAUCUCCUAGAGCUGUGGUGAGAAUUAACUAAAAUAACAUGGAUGAAGCUCUUGCGCGGCACCUGGCACAUGCGGGGCAAAGAACUGUAAGCAGAGACAAAAUGAAAGCCCUCUAGGCCCACAAUUGAUUCUAACGGCUGUGAGGGAAUGAGCUUCAACUACUGUUGAUGGGAGGGACUGUGUGCCAGGCACUGUGCUAGGGACUCUCAUGCAUGAUCUCAUUCAUCUUCUGCAUAACCCAAUGAGGUAUGAUCUACUAUCAAGUGUCUACAUUUGUAUUGGAUUGACUUAACAUCUCUGGAAAGCCAGAAAUCAGAGAUACAGAGAAGUAUUGAAAUGCUGAAAUGCUAUGAAUUUACUAUAAGAGAACAUUCUUCACUGAAGAGAUCUCUAGCUGCCAAAACACCCUUUCAUGCGUGAAAUACCGGGGCAAAGAGGAAGGAAAAGAGAAGAGUAUGACUCUAGGAACCAUGUUGCAGAAAUGCCAAAGGGUGGGACAAACAAAUAUAUUUAUAACAUAAAUGAGAACCAAGAAGACAAACAAACCAAAUCUCUGGGGAACAGAAGCCACUCUACAAAGUCUUCACAACGGAGCUAAUAUUUGAUUUGCAUUUUGGAGGAGAAAUAGAAAUUUGCUCAAUGGACUGAAGUGUGGGCAGGAGAAAAAGGGAAUCCUUGGCAGAAACACCGUAACAUGGAAUGGUGAAAAACAAAACAAAAUACAAUGAGAUUAAGGAACUGCAGAAAUACUUCUAAACCUGGAACAUAGGGUAUAAAAAAGGAAGACUCAAGAUAUGGUUCCAAGUUCCUUAGACCGUGGCUAUAUCAUGAAGAGCCUUAGAUGGCAAAGUAAAAAGUUUGAAUUUUGUAUUUUAUGAUCCUUAAAGUGCCUAGGAAAAUAUUAACACAUAUGAGCUAUCCAUAUAAUCGUUCUUGAACUGAAAUUACAAGUAUAUAGAGUAUGUGUCAGGAGGCUCUGAACUGGUGCCUGUAACUUUAUGAUGAGCUUACUGUUUUAGCUGCUGGAACAUUUUAGCACCUUUCUUGACCUAUUAUUACAUAAGUUUUUGUUGCCUUUCAACUUUUCGGAGAACAAUUCUGCCAUUUCUUUUUGAGUUUGAGCAUUUUCCUACCUGCACAAAGGGAAGAUGAGUUGUGCAUCCAAACAGGUAUGGGCUGUAAUGACUUUGGAAGAUCCAAAUAGCUAUCAUCUUGGCUGGAGAGAGGGUGACUUCCAAGCAAGGGCCUGUGCUCUGGCCUCACUCUCUGCGGCUCUGCAACAUGAGCCUCAGCAUCCCCUGUGCUACUCACUAGAAAGUGGACCUGACAGCUUUGGCAGGUAGAGCCUUGGGCUACAAAACCCUUCAGGCUGAGGUUGAAAAUAAGGGCUCCCUGUUCCAGGGGUUAUUGCUUGUUGCCCCCUGGGAAGUGGUGACUCACAUAAUCUGCAUCUCUGUUUUCAAUACACACCACAGAAAACUUCUUUCCUUUCUUCACCUUGAGUUGGUCAUCAGCAUGAAAAUCAGACAGAUCUUUCUAAUGUGUGUUCCUUAUAACAUCAGUUCCAAGGGAUGUUAAUCCAAUCAAGUUCCUGCAGUCAAAUAGGGCAGGACCAAGUUUAGACUUCUCAGACUCCUUAACAUUAUAAGAUACUUUCUAAAUCUCCAAGAAGAAUGGUGUUUUAAAAAUUGCUUUGAUUACAGAAGACUUUUCUUCCUGAGUCAAAAUUGAGAGUACUGAGUGUUCCAUGCAACACGUUUGGAACUUGAUGCUCAGUGCUCUUAUAGGCAUAGAGUAACAUGCAUAUUACAGUAUAUAAAUAAGUACUUAUUUACUUAGGAUGCAUGAGAAUAAACUAUUGCACAGAUAUGCAUUUUCUGGAUAACUGAACACAAACUCUGUUGAAUACUAGACUGUGCAUUAGUGUUACAUAUGUGGUGGGAUAACAUUUUGAUAACAUUUGAAAUAACUCCUUUUUUGAUUUUUUGUGCAUCCAUUUUUCCUUUCCCAAAGUUUUUUCUUCCCUGCAUUUCUCUUUCUUCCUUUCCCCAUUCCAAGCAGGGUCAGCCUUCUUUGGUUCAUUGUCUCAGAGUAAGAAGGUGUCAGGGUGGAAGGCCGAAGUAGCCUAUACGUCUGUCUGGCUUUUGUAUUCCUCAAACCGAGGCCUUUAGAACAACACAGAGAACUCACAGAGUAGGCAAACGAAAGAGGAUUUGGGGAUACAGAGCCAUGAAAAAAGAAGGGUAAUCCCCCAGAUUACAAAUAGUGGCACUGUUGGGCAGAGAGAGGAGAUAGGAGGGAGUGAAGAGGAGGUAGGGAGCGAAAGCAGGGGAGCCGAGGACAGAGGUAGAGGACGAGGACAAAAAGACAUCAUGAGGCUGGAAAGGAAACAGGCAUUGAGUGUGCACCCAGCCUGACUGUAAAGAAAGAUCUUUACCCUCUAAGACCAGGUCAGAGCAGCAGCGAGCCACAGCUGGUGUUGGGGAGCUGGCCAGCCACAGAGAGCUCACUACUAACCUGGGUGUGCACAUGGCCCAGGACCUGGUGACCUGCUCUCCACUUACCCCAAUGUUUUGACAUUAUUGACCCUUUCUUGGAAUCUCUGAUGGAACCUUAGAAUGGGUGGGAGGAUACUAUAAAAGCUUGAGAUUUGAAUUCCUAAUCAACUCGAUGAGAUAGGAGCCCCCAAUAGAAAUGAUUGGGAAUGAAAGAAAGUUAAAUUUCUUGAAAAUCUUGCUUUUAUAAAGCAUCAUGCAAUCUUUUCCAUGGUUGGGGCUGUCUCGCAGCCAGGUGCUGAGGGUCUGUUGAGGAGUGAGCACCUUUGCAGCCGUGCCAAUGUUGCAGGCCCCGGUGAUUUUGCAGUUUUUAUGUCUGCUUUUUAUGUAGCUUUCCUGUCGUAAGCCCGAAUUUCAUUUCUUGAUAAUUAUCAUAGGUAUACAUAGGUCUAAUUCUCUCCCUUUCCUCUCCAAAUUUGCUCCUUUCAUUGUGCUUUGGCCAGGAAACCAGAUAACAAAGCUUCUGAGAAUGAUGUAUAAAGGGAGAGGAAAUCAGUUCUGAGGGCUGGCUCAUUUUUCUCAUCUACAAAAUGACGGAGCUGUAAUAGAUCAUCACCAAGGUCCAGUCCAGCUUGCAC
rnacentral:lncRNA from 10 species